UACGUAGGUGGCAAGCGUUGUCCGGAUUUACUGGGCGUAAAGCGGGUGUAGGUGGUUGUCCAAGUUGGAUGUGAAAGCCUUGAGCUCAACUCAAGAAAUGCAUUCAGGACUGGAUGGCUAGAGGACCGGAGAGGAUAGUGGAAUUCCCAGUGUAGUGGUGAAAUACGUAGAGAUUGGGAAGAACACCAGUGGCGAAGGCGGCUAUCUGGACGGUUUCUGACACUAAGACUCGAAAGCGUGGGGAGCAAACAGG
rnacentral:rRNA from 1 species